rnacentral:lncRNA from 1 species
UUUUUUUAUCAGUUCUAUAGGAAUGCUUUUAUCGUAGAAUUUAUAUGUUACUUUAAAAAAUUUUGCGUUUGAUAAAUAAACGAGUGUUCCCUGCUUCCCUUUUUCUUUUUCUAUAUAAAGGAGUGUGUGGGUUUCAUUUGCUCCAUACCAUCUUUCAAUUCUCUCCCUUCUCUCUAGAAGUUCAUCAUCUCUCUUAGAAGAGCUUGCUUUUUUUAGUCGCCGAUCCAUUUUUGAUGAGGUGAUGUUUUAAAGGUAUUUAUUACUUGAUCUAUUUUUUGGAUUUCUUGUUGCUUUCAUUUUGUACUUUUCGUGGUUUUGGUGCUUAAGUUGGAGAAACUAUUCCACUUUUCGGUUGAAGGAAGAAACAUCUAUAUUUUGUUAGUUUAUGGUUUUCAAGAUCAUUCUUUCGAGUUUUUAGAUUUUUGGUCGUAUGAAGGAGUUUUGCAGUAGUUUUUGAGUUUUCGAUCCGGCCGUGGAGGAGGAUUUUUUGGGUUUUCAGCUAUGGAAAAGGGUUUUCAAGUUUUCGAGUGCAAGGGAGUCUGUUGGUAGCUUUUGGAUUUUCAGUUCGGUCAUGGAAGAAUGUUUUGGGGUUUUCGGCCUAUUAGGAUUUGGGUUUUUAGCUUGAGCUUUAGGAGGCGUGGUGGUGUUUUCAAUUUUUGGCAUUUUGGUGUGGGACCUAUGCACCUUUUGGUUUUUCAAUCUUCCUUUGGCAUGUUGCUUUUGCAGGUUUUCAGUGCUUAGGUGUGGGACCUUGGCACCUUUUGGGUUUUCGAUCUUCUUCAGUGGAGUGUUGCUUUGCCAGCUUUCGAUUCUUUGGUGUGGGACGCUUUUUGGAUUUUCUACUUUUUAUGAGAUGGAUCCUUUGCUCUUUGAUUUGGAUAAGGCUGGGGAAUUUGUAGAUACAAGCAUUAGAAAUCUAAGUUUUUUUAUGUUGAAGCAUCCUCUUGGGGGGAAUUGGGGUGGCUUUAUUGAGAGUUAGUCCUUCCAACCCCAGAGGUUCAAAGGGACUAUCCGGAUGAUGGUUUUACGGCUUACUCUAGACUUAUGGCCAUUGCUUCAUCUUGGGAAAAGUAGCCUUACUAACUCUUUAUUCAUGUUGAGAAGAGAGCUUUUAUAGUUAACGUUAUCGGUCUUUCCCCCAAAGAAGUUGACCAUGGUACCAUUCUUUUCCUUGAUCUCUAUACUCCUUAUCUAACUUAUUUAUUUUUUUCUUUUCCUUGUAGAGAUGGUGAGGGAUAAUGCUUCUUGAAUGAUGAAGGUUGCUGAGAAGAGGAGAAAAGAAACUAGCCAAUUAGACCAAUCAAAGUGGUCAAAAGCAAUAGGAGAGUCUUCUAAUUUGAUUCUUGCUUCGCAGGUGCAUGCCACCAUUGAGCUUCCUUCAUAUUCUGUAGAGACUAGACUUUCUCCAAUGCCUCCUUCUACUUUUGAUGACCUAUUGAGAGGUUAUACCAUGGUGGCAGACAACUACCUCCUAGUUAAAAAUAUUAGGAAGAAAUUUAUACUACCAGGAGACCAGGAGAGACUUGAUGCUGAGGAUGAUGAUAAUGGCUAUCAUCAUGCUAUGGCUGUGAACUUAGAAGUUAUGACCGCAAUUCAAGCAAGAAAGGAGAGAUUCCACAAGCUGCAUGGAGCCUUUGGAGAGCUUCAAACGCAAAAUAUUCUCCUCAUAACUGAGCUUGGCAACAUGCAUUCCUUGGCUUAUGGAGAUGACCUUAGAAAGAGAUGUUGAGAGGGCUAGAUUCAAGGAAGCUGAGAGGAAGCUAAAGGCUAGUGAUGACUAGAUACUUGACAUGUAUCUAGGUUUAUAGGGUUUCAUCAUGUCUAAGCUUAACUCGGGGACCCUACCGGGGACUACAAUUGGAUUUUGGACAUGGUUCAUGAAGCUAUAACUCCUACAAAUAAGGAGUGGCAUCAUGGUGAUGGUGGAAAUGAGCCUUAGUUUUUAGGUUUCCAUACUUUGUAUCUUGGCCUUGAAGGCCUUAGUUUCUUUGGUAAUUAUUUUAUAUGGAUAUCUACUAUGUUAUUUUGAAUUCUAUGUUGUUUAUAUUUUCAUAGUUGCUUAAUUCUCUAGUCAGCUAAUGUCUUGGAUGAUUCUUAAAUUUUGAUUAGUAGUUCUACUACAUAAAUGUUUAACCUAAUGCUGGGUGAAAAAUGAAUGAAUGAAUGUACUUUAAAGUUAUCACUAUAGAACUAAGAGAUAAGUACUUCAAAAGAUGGGUCUACAUGAUUAAAUAAAUGUUACCAAACUUGCGUCUCCAUUUGCUUUGAUGGAGUAUCAUGGGUAUGAUUUAUUCUGGUACUAAGCUACAAUCAUAGGAAGCUGCAUGGGUACAUCAAUAGUGGGCAAGGAUUUGCUUGCGAGGGCACUCUUAUGUCGCCUUUUGUGCAAUAGGUCACAUGAAGAGUGCUCUUACGUCGCCUAGGGGUUCUCUUAUGUUGCUUAAGGGUGCUCUUACAUUGCUUAAGGGUGCUCUUACGUCACUUAAGGGGCAUUCUUACAUCGCCUAAGUAGGUAAUAGAUUGCCUAAAGGGCACUCUUAUGCCACCUAAGGGAGCUUUCACAUCUCCUAAAUGAGCUCUUAAAUCGCCUGAGGGAGCUGUUAUGUCAUCUAAAGGCACUCUUAUGUUACCUAGAGGUGCUCUCACAUCACCUAAGUCGACAAUUAGUUGCCUUAAAGGGCGCUCUUACGUCGUCUAAUGCAAAGAUGGAUGGUAAGAUAGCUUGGUGCCUAAAAACUUGAUCUUUUAUUUAAAACAUGAUUAUUUCAAUCACUGCACAAGUUUAAAUUGAAACAAAAUAUGAAAAAGUACUAAAUCAAAAAGCUUAUUAUUGAUAGAAAUUUCUAAGAUUGGCAAUAUUUCAUGACCUCAGAAUAGCCUUCUUAUUCAAGUCUGAUAGCUUGUAGGCUCUUGGUUCUAUUAUCUUGAUGACUUAGAAAGGUCCCUCCCAAUUGACAUCAAUUUACCUGAGCCUACAUUUCCCUUCUUCAGGUUAGCUCUAUGAAGAACCAUGUCGCCUACCAUAAAAGGUCUCCCUUUGACUUUGGAAUUGAACAAUUGUACCAUCUUGUGAUGGUACAUUGCGAUGUUUAAAAAGGACUUGUCUCAUUUUUCUUCCAGUUGGUCUAAUAAGAAAUGGAUUGCAUCAUCCGGGUUAGCAAGCUCUGGGUUAGAAGUUCGAGCACUGAGGACUUGGAACUCUACUAGGGUGACUGCUUCCGCCCCAUAAGUAAGGGAGAAUGGUGUUUUUAUUGUUGUUGUUUAUGGGGUGGUACAAUAUUUCCAUAGUAUUGCUUGGUAACUCAUUUGCCCAGUUCUCUUUAGCAUCAUCUAGGCGCUUCUUCAAUCCUUGUAAAAUGGUUAUAUUCGUAACUUCUGUCAUGUCAUUGGACUAUGGAUGGUAGAUUGAGGUAAACCUUAGAUUGAGUCUCCAAAUUGUACAAAAAUCUUUAAACUUUGUGCUAGUGAACUUUUUUCCAUUAUCCAUGAUAAGGAUUGCUGGCAUUCCAAAUAUGGUAAAAAUGCUUUUUUGGCAAAAAGCAAUUGCUCUAUCUGUGGUGAUUUUCAGAGUUGCCUCAGCCUCAGCCACUUUGUAAUAUGGUCUAUCGCGUAUGGUACUCUGCCUUUAGGAACAGGCCUAGAAUAUCGAUUCCCCAUUAAAAGAAAUGACAUGGACUACUGAUUACUGUUACUCUUUCAGUAGAGGUGUGAAGGAUGAAGUUAUGCUUCUAGCAUUGAACACAUUGCUUGACUAUCCUUUUUGUAUCUUCCAUUACUGUUGGCCAUUACUAUUGUCCAAGCUCCUUCAUGGCUGACACAAAAUCCUUCGUGGAUUUCGUGAAGAACUCAUAUUUCAUCCUCUUGAGUUAUGUACUUCAACCAUGGCUGAAGGUAUGCUUUUUUGUACAUCCAUCCAUCUACUAUACCAUAAUUUGAGCCUUUCAUGACUAACCUUCUGGCUUCCAACUUAUCUUUCAGGAGGGUUCCUAGUGUGAGAUAAUAGAAGACUGAAGCCAUCCAAGUAUCUCUUACUUCGAUUGGGAAGAUCUCCCCAUGUUCAACUAUUGGGCAAAUGAUCUCUUCGUAAGGGAAUCCCUGAGUUAAGCGUUGCUCACCUACUGUUGUAAGUUUGGCUAAGGAAUCAGCCUCCAAGUUUUUACUCCUUGACACUUAAAUUAUGGAGAUCACUCCCUUCUGCAGCUCAAAACUAAUAAGAAAUUGUUUCACCUAGACUUCAUACUUUGCGAGAUUUGGGUCUUUGACUUGAAAACUACCCCGACAUUGAUUUACUACCAACUAUGAGUCACAGAAGAUUUCAGCAUUUGUUAUCCGAUUUGCUUUAGAAUUAUUAAUGCCAUAAAAAAUGCUUCUUACUAUGCUACGUUAUUUGUAGCCGCAAAUUUUAGUUUUGUUGCAUACCGCAACUUGAUCAGAUGAGAGCUAAGUAAGAGUAUGCUUGCUUCAGAACUAAUGGAACCCGAUGUGAUCAGUCCAAAUUUAGACCAUUUUAUCAUGAUAUUAUUAAUGUUAAUUUACACUUUUUCUGCCAAAUUUUGUGGUUUUGAUCUUAUUUUGCAGAAAAUGGUGUAAAGAGGUAAUUUGGAGAGAAUGCCCUUAAAACUGCCUAAAAUGGAACAAAGGAGAACAAGCAUGCCAAGUUGCAACUUAAGAGGAGAUAAAUAAGGAAAGUAAUUUGAAAUUCAAAUUUCAAAUCUUAAAGAGCAUUCAAAAUUCAAAAUUCAGCUUAUUCAAGAAGCCAAAUCUCAAGGAGAUACACAUUCAAAAUUUAAAAUUCAAAAGAAGGCACCACCUCAUCAAAGCAACUUGGGCAGCAAGUUAAACAUUGGGCAGCAAGCUUAGGCAGCAAGGAAGAGCUAGGGCAGCACAUAAAGGCUAUAAAUACAUCUCUUCAAGUGCCAACGCCCACACAAUCCUACACACACAAUCCUUGGGACAUUCAACCACUCCUUCUCCUUCACUCCAAGCCACCGCACCUCCUUCUCCCUUUCUUCUUCUCUUUCUUUUUGAGUUUUGUUUCAGCCAUGAGUGGCUGAAACUCUUUUUUCUAGUUGAAGAUUAAGUGAAACUUUGGUUGUUUUAUGGAUUGGGAGAUCUGAACAUACAUUGUUUAUCUUUUGUUUUUCAAUAUUUAUGUAAUUUCAUGCUUAAUUCCAUUAUUGCUUUGUUAUUUAGAUCAAUAAGGCCAACUGAUUCUUGAUUGCAAGGUAAUAAUUUAUUAGUUUGGAUAGUUUUAAGUCCGUAAUUGCUUGGAUUAUUCAAACACAAGUAACGCUUGGUGUAAAAACUAAGAAAAUUGCAUGAUCUAGCAAUAUCACCAUGCGUUUAGGUAGCUAGAAUUAGGUCUCUCUAUUUCUUAAUGCAAUUGACAGUUGUUAGAUGCCAAAGGUCCAAGGACGUUCCUUGGAAACUUGUUAAUUAGUGAUUAGUUAGAGGACGUUCCCUAAUUAAUUUAUACUUAAGGAGGGACAUGGUGGUGAGAAGCGUCUUCCAUCUCCAUAACUAAUUUAUUGAAUCAAACAAAGGAACCUAAUUAUCAAUAAUCAAUCCCAACAACUGAAGUGGAUCCAAUUCUUCAACUAGAGCUUUUCUCAUAUUUGAAUCACUUUGCUUUAAUUAUUUGCUUUAUUUUAUUGCUUUCAGUAUUAGUUUAAUUCAAUCAGUCUCAAAACUCCCCUUUUUAUUUUAUUUUCAGUUUAUUUAUUUUUAGUUUAUUUACUUUCAGUUUGUUUGCUUGGUCUUGAUAAGGAAAAUAGGUAAGUAUCAAUUCCCUGUGGAUUCGAUCCUUUUGCCACUAUCUACAGUUGUAAAAUUGUUGAUAACCAAAAAGGUUAUUUUUACUGGCUUCGACAAUCGCACAGUCAAAAAUUGGCGCCGUUGCCGGAAAAUUGAUUUAACUAAUUUAUUUUUCUUUCAUGACCAGAUUUGGACACAAGGAGACUCUUCUUUACGAUCCAGAAAUUGAGCGCACAAUCAGACGGCUUGGGAAGCAAGUCACUGCCGAACCUACCACAAAAGAGCCUGCCAUCGCAAAGACUGAAGCAACACCUUCUAAACUUCACCAAACAGCCGCAGAGAUGGCUGAAAACAAUGCUGAACCUGCUGUCCAUAAUAAUAUAAUACAAGAAAAUCCAGCAAUGAGGCCACCUAUGCCAAGAGAAAGAACACUGAGAGAGUUGGCAGCCCCUAUAGGCGAUCAAGCACCUCUCUGCAUCACCUAUCUGCCUCUAACAGUCCCUUUCGAGCUCAAAACAGGUUUGAUACAUCUACUACCUAAAUUUAAAGGUUUGAAGAAUGAGAAUCCACAUAAGCACUUAAAAUAAUUUGAUAUUGUAUGUUCAUCCAUGAGGCCGCAAGGCAUAACUGAAGAGCAUGUAAAAUUGAGAGCUUUCCCCUUUUCACUUGAUGAUUAUGACAAAGAUUGGUUGUUUUACUUACCACCCGGUUCAAUCACUUCUUGGGAUGGUAUGGUUAGAUCUUUUCUGAAUAAAUAUUUCCCAACUUCUAAAGCCAUAGGCAUAAGAAGAGAGAUAAGUAGCAUUAAGCAAAAAGAUACUGAGGAUUUGUAUGAUUAUUGGGAAAGAUUUAAGAGAUUAUGCAUAGGCUGUCCUCAACAUGACAUUUCAGAUAAAUCACUCAUAGAAUUCUUCUAUGGAGGUUUGCUACCAUCCGAAAGGAAAUUCAUUGAUGUAGCAUAUGGAGGUUUGACUCGCGGUUGUCGAAGCUGGUAAAAAAUAACCUUUCUGGUUAUCAAUAAUAUUACUACUGCAGAUAGUGGUAAAGGAUCGAAUCCAUAGAGGAUUGAAAACUUAUCUAUUUUUCUUAACAUGACCAAGAGAAUUAACUGAAUGAGAACUGAAAGCAAUUAACUGAAAGCAAAUAAAAAUAAAGCGCAAUAAAAGUAAAAGGGGGGUUUUGAGAUGGAUUCAGUUGAACUAAUUAAGAAAGCAAUAAAAGAAGUGAAUAGGAAAAAUAAAGAGAAAUCAAAUAUGAGAAAGGUCUAGUUGAAGAGUUGGAUCCACUUCAGUUGUUUGUAUUGAUCAUCGAAACUUAUGUUCUUUUGAUUGAUUCAAUAGAUUAGUUAUGGAGAUGGAAGACGCUUCUCACCACCAUGUCUCUCCUUAAGAUUAAACCAAUUAGGGAACGUCCUCUAAUUAAUUACUAAUUAACAAGUUGUCAAGGAACGUCCUUGAGCCUUAGGCAUUAAAACAAAUGUUAAUUGCAUGAAGAGAUAGAGAGAGCCAAUCCUAACUACUCAAACGCAUGAGAUGUUGCUAGAUCAUACAAUUUCCUUAGUUUUUAUACCAAGUGUUCUAUGUUUGAACAAUCCAAGCAAUUACGGACUUAAAAUUAUCCAAACUAACAAUAUAUUACCUUGCAAUCAGAAUCAAGUGGCCAAUUUGAUCAAAACAACAAAGCGAUAAUAGAAUCAAGCAUGAAACUGUAUGAAUAUUGAACAAACUAAAGACAAACAAUUUAUAUUCAGAUCUCAUAAUCCAUAAAACAACUUAAGUUUCAACCAAUCUUCAACUAGAAUAAAAGGUUUCAGCCACUCAUGGCUGAACCAAAAUCAAAAAUAAAAGAAAAGAAGAUAGAUAGAAGAAGAGAAGAGGUGGGCGUCGGUCCUUGUGCAAUCCGAGAAGGAGAGGCGUGAAGAGUUCAGGAAGAGCCACUCUCGGUUGGCUUAUGUGCUUCUUAAAUAAGUUUAGAUGCUGACCUUGCUGUCCAAGAGGUACUUGCUGCCCAAGUUGUGUCUGAAAAGGAAAGAAUCGCGUUGCAAGGUCUUCAGAAGGAAGGAGGCGCGCAGAUGGCUCUUCAGAAGGAAGGUGGGCGCGCGGCAAGGCUUGUGCAGAGGGAAGGAUAUGUUGUCCAGUCUUUCCUUUUUAGGUGGAGCCUUCAUUUGAAUUUCAAAUUUUGAAUGCUGAAUACGGAAGAGGCAAGUGCGUCUUCUUGAAAUCUUGCUGCCUAAAUAGGAAGAUCUGACUACUGAAGUGUCUGCACAUCUUUAAACAAGGAAAGAAAGAUAUGCAAUUUGAAUUUCAAAUAAUCUUCUGACUGUGCUUUCCUUAUUUGCUUUUGCUUCUGCACUUUCCUUAUUUGAAAACUUUCCUUUUUUGGCACUUUCUAUAUUCGGCACUUUUUGGCAGUUUUAAGAGCAUUUUCACCAGAUUGUCUCUUUACACCUAAUAUCUGCAAAACAAGGUUAAAACCACAAGAUUAGGCAAAAAAGAUGUAAAUAAACAUAAAUAACAUCAUGAUAAAAUGGACUAAAAUAUGCUCUAUCAAUGUUCCAUUGAAGAUAGAAUACCUCGAACGAUCAGAGACUUGAUCUCAACACUUGCAGCAGCCUCUAGACAGUAUGGAGAUGAAAAGCAACUGCAAAGAGGAGUCAAUGAGGUAAGUACAUCUGUUCUAGCUUCUCAAAUUUCUGAACUAACAUCUGUUGCGAAAAGUCUUGUCAUAGGUCAAGCUCAGCAAGCUCAACAACUUCAGCAAUCUCGGCCAUGUGGGAUUUGCACACAUAUAGGACACCCAACUGAUCGAUGUCCUACACUUCAAGAGGAUGACCAGCAAGUGAAUGCCAUUGGAGGAUUCAAUAGCCAGCCUAGACAUGAUCCAUACUCUAACACAUACAAUCCAGGUUGGAGAGACCAUCCGAACUUCGGCUAUGCUAGGGCUAACAAGUACCAGAACUAUCAAAGAAAUCAAGCCCAAGCAAUACCUCCAAGCUCCAAUAUGCACCUUGACUCACGGUUGUCGAAGCCGGUCAAAAAUGACCUCUACGGUUAUCAAUAAUUUUACAACUGCAGAUAGUGGUAAAGGAUCAAAUCCACAGAGAAUUAAAUACUUAUCUAUUUUUUCUCAAACAAGAUCAACUGAGAGCACAAUUGGAGGUAAGUAACUGAAGGCAGAUCAAUAGCAAAGUGCAAUAAAGUAAAAAGGGGGGGUUUUGAGAUUGAUUUGACUAACAACUAUUGAAAGCAAUUAAAACAGCAAGUAAUUAAAAUAAAGGGUGAUUUACAAUUUAGUCCCUGGUUAUUACCAUUAUUAACAAGUCAGUCCCUAUAUUUUUAGAAACCUAUUAAAACGUCCUUAUGUUUUAUUUCCGUCAACGAAAUAGUCCUUCCAUCCUAUUUUCCGUUAAAAUUAGAUAAAGGAGGAGAGAGAAAAUUUUUAAAAUCCAAUUUUACCCUCAAAUAAAACCAUUUAUUUAGUCCUUGUAUAUUACAAUUAUUAACAAGUUAGUCCUUACAUUUUCANNNNNNNNNNNNNNNNNNNNNNNNNNNNNNNNNNNNNNNNNNNNNNNNNNNNNNNNNNNNNNNNNNNNNNNNNNNNNNNNNNNNNNNNNNNNNNNNNNNNNNNNNNNNNNNNNNNNNNNNNNNNNNNNNNNNNNNNNNNNNNNNNNNNNNNNNNNNNNNNNNNNNNNNNNNNNNNNNNNNNNNNNNNNNNNNNNNNNNNNNNNNNNNNNNNNNNNNNNNNNNNNNNNNNNNNNNNNNNNNNNNNNNNNNNNNNNNNNNNNNNNNNNNNNNNNNNNNNNNNNNNNNNNNNNNNNNNNNNNNNNNNNNNNNNNNNNNNNNNNNNNNNNNNNNNNNNNNNNNNNNNNNNNNNNNNNNNNNNNNNNNNNNNNNNNNNNNNNNNNNNNNNNNNNNNNNNNNNNNNNNNNNNNNNNNNNNNNNNNNNNNNNNNNNNNNNNNNNNNNNNNNNNNNNNNNNNNNNNNNNNNNNNNNNNNNNNNNNNNNNNNNNNNNNNNNNNNNNNNNNNNNNNNNNNNNNNNNNNNNNNNNNNNNNNNNNNNNNNNNNNNGAAGAAGAAGAAGAAGAAGAAGAAGAAGAAGAAGAAGAAGAAGAAGAAGAGAAAGAAGAAAAAGAAGAAGAAGAAGAAUGAGAAGAAGAAGAAGAAGAGAAAGAAGAAAAAGAAGCAAAAGAAGAAGAAGAAGAAGAAGCAGAAGAAGAAGGAGAAGAGGGAGAAGAAGCAGAAGAAGAAGGAGAAGAAGGAGAAGAAGCAGAAGAAGAAGGAGAAGAAGAAGAAGCAGAAGAAGCAGAAGCAGAAGGAAGAAGAAUUGAUGAAGAAGAAAAGGAAGGAGGAGGAGAAGGAGAAAAAUAAUGGGGGGUAAUAUAGUCUUUUACUAUAUUUUUAAAGGCAAAAAUAGACAGAAGGACUAUUUCGUUGACGGAGAGAAAACAUAAGGACGUUUUAAUAGGUUUCUAAAAAUAUAGGGAUUGACUUGUUAAUAAUGGUAAUAUCCAGGGACUAAAUAAUAAAUUACCCUAAAAUAAAAGAGGAAAUCAAUAUGAGAAAGGUCUAGUUGAAGAUAUGGAUCCACUUUGGUUGUUUGGGUUGAUCAUUGAAACUUAUGUUCUCUUGAUUGGUUCAAUAUAUUAGUUAUGAGAGUGGAAAACGCUUCUCACCACCAUGUCUCUCCUUAUGAUUAAAUCAAUUAGGGAACGUCCUCUAAUCAAUUACUAAUUAACAAAUUGCCAAGGAACGUCCUUGGGCCUUAGGCAUCAAAACAAUUGUCAAUUGCAUGAAGAAAUAGAGAGAUCCAAUCUUAGCUACUCCAAACGCAUGAAGAUGAUGCUAGAUCACACAAUUCCUUACUUUUUACACCAAGUGUUCUUAGGUCAGAAUAUUUCCAGCAAUUACGGACUAACAAAUAUCCCAACUAACAAUCAAUUAACUUUGCAAUCAAGAAUCAAGUGGCCAAUUUGAUCAAAACAACAAAGCAAUCUUAGAUUUAAGCACACAAUUGCAUGAAUAUUGAACAAACCAAAAGCAAACACUUUAUGUUCAGAUCUCACAACCCUUUAAACUACCUUAGUUUCAACCAAUCCUCAACUAGAAUUAAGAGUUUCAGCCACUCAUGGUUGAACCAAAACAAAAAGUAGAAGAAGAGAAGAAAGAAGGAGGAACCGGCGGCCGAAGGUGGAAGAGGAGUGGCUGCCGAACCUUGGUGGUGAUUGAGUUCUUCAAGUCUGAAAAUCUACUACUUCUUGUUUUCAUAAGACCUUUAAAUAAGUCUUGGGAGGCUGCCUAGGGUUUCUUGGGUGUCCAUGCAUCUUUUUGAGGUUGCCCAAAGUGCCUUUGGUCUUAUAUUUGUCUUCUAGGUGCAUGUGUGAAGUUGCAAGGACUUUUUGGUCUUUUAAUUGUUGUCCAAGUGUGUCUAAGAAGUUUCCUUCACAUUAUUUUUGCCACUCAUGCACUAAAGAGGAAGGUGGAGCCUCCUUUUGAAUUUUGAAUGUGCAUGGUAUGAAGUGGGAAACAUGUAAUCUUCAAGAUUUGGCUUCUUGAAUAAGGAAGAUGCAAUUCGAGGGGACUUUCGGCCGCCUAAACUUGUUUUCGGAAGCUGGACUUUCGGCUCUGGAGCAAAUUUUCGGCCGCCGAAGGUGCUGCCGAAGGUGGGUGACUUUCGAUUCUGGACGAGCUUUUUGGCCGCCAAAGGUGCUUCCGAAGGUAGUUGAGUUUCGGUUCUGGAUGAGCCUUUCGGCCGCCGAAGGUGCUUCCGAAGGUGGUUUUUCUAGAUUUGGCACUUUUUGGCAGUUUUGAGCAUUUUCUCUUGAUUGUCUCUUUACACCUAAUAUCUGCAAAACAUGAUUAAAACCACAAAAUUAGGUAGAAAAGGUGUAAAUAAACAUCAAUAAGAUCAUGAUAAUAUGGACUAAAAUAUGCUUUAUUAAAUACCCCCACACUUAGCCUUUUGCUUGUCCUCAAGCAAAUAAACAUAGUCAAAUAAGCUUUCUUUGCUCUAGAUCCUUGUUUCCACUUAAGCUCUUACUCAAGACACCUAUUUUGAAUCAUUGCAGUGAAGAAUAUAUGCAUGAAGAUUACUUACCUUCUUUCCUUGUUUUCCUUUGCUCACCAUGGUUAGGAUUUGUUUUCCUCAAGAGAGAUAUCAUACAUGCACAUUAAUUUGUUAAGACUUUUUCUAGCUUUUGGAUUGACUUGCCCUUACCUUGAAGUACUUUAUUCAGGCUUUUUGCACUUAGAUUUUCCUUGAAAAAGUCACCAACCUUUUGACGUGAAGGUACAUAUUUGUGAUACCCACCCCCAGUUACUCAGUUGGUCACCUCUCCAAGUGGCUACUAGCUUUGUUCUUAGUCUUUUGACCAUUGGAACAGUUUUUGAUUUUGUGCUUUUGAGGUCUUUGCCUUUGCUGAAUUUUCUUUCUCUCAACGAUUUGGGCAAAUCAACACCAAUUGCUAAAUCCAGUCAUGUUAAGUUCAUUCACACAACUUUCAAUUUAUUCUCUCUAAUGAGGGUCAUCAAUAUAUUUUUCACCAUGGCAAACUCAAAGAUUCAAUUCAAAAGGCAAUUCUCAAACAUGAAUACAACUCACUGCAAUUGAUUCAAUAUAAGUUUAAAGAUUCAUCACAUCAAUGGGGUCAUGGAAAGAAAAACUCAUCCAACAUAGUUCAUCAGUUUGAGUAGAGCAAAACAAAAAGAGAAGAAGGUUGUGGUUGUGUGUGUUUUAUUGAAAGCAUAAACUAAAAAAAUUUCAACUGUGGCUAUUCAAGGUAAAACUGAAAGAAAAAAGAAAAAAUUUUGCAAUCCGAAAGCAUUGUGAAUUUGCAGAAGAAGAAAGGAAGAAGAAGAAGAGAAGAGGUAUGCACCCCCACACUUAAAUCAUGCAUUGUCCUCAAUGUAUAAGAAACAUAAAAGAACAAAGGAAACUGAAUACUCCCUUGGGGUGUAAGGUGCAUGGCAUGUGAUUCACUUAGGCUGAAUGAGUGAUGAACAGAUUUUCGUCUGGGAACUCUUCUUUGAUUGAACAAGGUGUAGAGCUAGAUGGAAGCCGGCUGAGGUGGUCAGCUACGAGAUUUUCUUUUCCUUUCUUGUCUCUUAUCUCUAGAUCGAACUCUUGUAAUAGAAGGAUCCACCGAAUGAGUCUCGGUUUUGCUUCCUUUUUCUUGAUCAAAUAUCGCAAAGCUGCAUGGUCAGAGUAAACAAUGACUUUAGUUCCCAAGGGAUAUGGUCUGAAUUUCUCUAAGGUAAACACAACAACUAGGAGCUCUUUUUCUGUUGUUGUGUAGUUGCUUUGAGUGGCAUCCAAGGUGCGAGAGGCAUAGUGAAUGAUGUGGGGUGAGUUUCCCUCACGUUGUCCCAAGACUGCUCCCACUGCAUAAUUGCUUGCGUCACACAUGAUUUCAAAAGGCAAGUUCCAAUCAGGUGCUUGAAUAAUUGGGGCAGUCACAAGCAAUUCUUUAAUCAGAUCAAAUGCUCUUUUGCAACCUGCAUCAAAAUCAAAUGCAACAUCUUGUUGAAGCAAUUUACAUAAUGGCUGUGUGAUUUUGGAAAAAUCUUUUAUGAAUCUUCUGUAGAAUCCUGCAUGUCCAACGAAGGAACGGAUGUCUUUAACAUUUGUAGGGUAAGGCAGAUUUUUAAUUGUGUCUACCUUGGCCUUGUCCACUUCAAUUCCUUUGGCUGAAACAACAUGUCCUAAAACCAUACCUUGAUUGACCAUAAAGUGACAUUUUGCAUAAUUAAGCACAAGGUUAGAUUCAAGGCAUCUCUGUAGGAUCUUUUCCAAAUUAGCAAGGCAUUCCUCAAAAGAGUUACCAUGUACUGUGAAAUUAUCCAUGAAUACUUCAAUUGUCUUACCCACAUAGUCAGAGAAUAUGCUCAUCAUGCAUCGCUGAAAGGUGGCAGGUGCAUUGCAUAGUCCAAAUGGCAUUCUUCUGAAGGCAAAAGUGCCAAAAGGACAAGUGAAGGUGGUCUUCUCUUGGUCCUCCGGAGCAACUGGAAUUUGAUAAAAACCUGAAUAGCCAUCAAGACAACAAUAAUGGGACUUACCUGUAAGCCUUUCUAGCAUCUGAUCAAUGAAAGGUAGUGGGAAGUGAUCUUUCCUUAUUGCAGCAUUUAGCUUUCUGUAGUCCAUGCAUACUCUCCAUCCAUUCUGAACUCUUGUGGGAACAAGUUCUCCUUCAGCAUUUGGAACAAUGGUGAUUCCAGUUUUCUUUGGAACUACAUGUACAGGACUCACCCAUUUGCUAUCAGAGAUUGGGUAUAUGAUACCUGCAUCAAGGAGCUUGACUAUUUCUUUCUUUACUACCUCCAUCAUAGGUGGAUUUAGUCUUCUUUGAGCAUCUCUGACUGGCUUGCAUUCAUCUUCCAUGUGUAUUCUAUGUAUGCAUGUGGAAGGAGAAAUACCUUUGAUGUCAUCUAUGGUCCACCCUAUGGCUCCUUUAUGUUUCUGUAGUACUUUCAAGAGGCUUGCUUCUUCAUGUUGGCUCAAUUUAUUGGACACUAUCACUGGCAGUGUCUUGUUAGCUCCUAGGUACAUGUAUUUUAGAUAGUCUGAAAGAGGCUUCAGAUCUGAUUCUGGUACUUUUUGGCUGGAAGAGCUUGCUUGCUUUGGGAACUGCUGAGCAAGGUUCGGCGGCCGAAUGUCAGUAGUUUCGACAGACGAUGGGAUCUGAGGUGAAUGAUUCGGUGGCUGAAGGGAGUUCAUCUUUGACGGCCGAAUGGUUGCUGAGUUCGGCGGCCGAGAGUCAGUAGAGUUUGGCUGCCGAAAGUUUUCAGUGUGCUGGGCAGGCUGUGGCGAUGGAUUCUGCGUCUGGAAGGCAGUGAGGUUCGGCGGUCGAAAGUUGUUUGUAUUCGGCGGUCGAAUGUCUUCAAUCUGCGCAACAUCAAUCUGUUGGAUGCUACAGACUGUUUCUUUGAGUUUUGGCUCUUUCUGGCACUCAAUUUGUACUUGACCAGUAUCUCUGCAGAAAUCACUAUUAAGAAUAUCAUCUUGCUUUUCAUCAAAAAUUUCUUGACUCAAACAGUCAACAAUAUCAAGACCAUAAACAGGGGACAUAUCAUGUGGAUAUUUCAUGGCAUCAUAGACAUUAAACUUAAUCACUUCCCCUUCAAACUCUAUAGUGAGAGUACCAUCAUGCACAUCAAUUUUAGUUCUAGCAGUACUCAAGAAAGGUCGUCCAAGAAGGAUAUCAGAACUAGUAUUGCAACUAUCUUCCUUAGUAUCAAUCACAUAAAAAUCAGCAAGGAAGACUAGUUCAUCUACUUGGACUAACACGUCUUCUAGGACACCUAUGGGAUAUACCACAGAUCUAUCAGCUAAUUAGAUCACAACUCUUGUGUCUUUCAGUGCACAUGCAUUUAAAGAUUUAUAGAUGGAGAGAGGCAUGACAUUUAUAGAUGCACCAAGAUCACACAUGGCUUUUUUGAUUCCAACAUUCCCUAUCUUACAAGAAAUUGCAAACAUACCUUUGUCCUUGCACUUAGUAGGGAGUUCUCUUUUAAUCACAGCAGUAACAACUUCUCCUACACUUACUUUUUCUCUCUCAGCAAGCUUUCUUCUAUUGGUACACUACUCUUUCAGAAAUUUUGCGUACCUUAGAAUCUGCUUGACAGCAUCUAGCAGUGGUAUGUUGAUUUUCACUUUUCUGAAAGUCUCUAGGAUCUCCUUUUCUUCCUUUUCUUUUUGUGUUUUUUCAAAUCUUUUUGGAAAAGGAUGUGGAAUGUGUAAGCUUACCUUUUGAUCACUUUUUUUGCACAGGUGGUGCUUCAGGUUGCGCUGGAGAGGUUUCAGGUUGCAUUGGUUCUUGCGCAACUUGCUUUUCUUGCUCAUAGCUAGCAUCUUGAAGCUCUUUUCCACUUCUCAAAGUGAUGGCACUCACAUUUUAUCUAGGAUUAGUUUCAGUUUGAGAAGGGAGCUUAUAUUGGGAUUCAACUUUGUUCAUGAAUGCGGUUACUUGUCCCAUUUAUUGUUGGAGAGAUUGUAUAGUGUUUGUAAGUGUCUCCAUCAUCUUUUCAAGGUGCUGAUUGGAACUUGAAGGUGCUGGUUGGACUUGAUUUCUGCGGUAGUUCUGAUGAUUCUGAUUGUUGUUGGCCCUUCCAUAGCUAAAAUUGGGGUGGUCUCUCCAGCCUGGAUUGUAUGUGUUUGAAUAUGGAUCAUGUCUAGGCUGGUUGUUGUACCCUCCAAUGGCAUUAACUUGCUGGUUGUCCUCUUGAAGGGUAGGACAUUGAUCAGUUGGAUGUCCUACAUAUGAACAAAUACCACAUGGCCUAGGUGGCUGGGUUGCUUGCAUCUGUUGUACCAGUCCUAUGGCAAAAUCUUUCAUAACAGCUGUUAGUUCAGAAAUAGUAGGUGAGCUUACCUCAUUAACUCCUCUUUGCAUUUGCUUUUCUUCUCCAUACUGCCUAGAUGAGGCUGCAAGUGUAGAAAUCAACUCUCGCAUCUCUCUAGGUGUCUUGUCUGCAAUGCAUCCUCCACAGGCUACAUCUAUGAAUCUUCUUUUUGAUGAGAGUAACCCUCCGUAGAAGAACUGUAUGAGGGACCUGUCUGACAUAUCAUGUUGUGGACAACCUGUACAUAGUCUUUCAAACCUUUCCCAAUAAUCAUAUAAAUCUUCAGUUGGUUUCUAUCUUAUACUAGUGAUUUCUCUUAUUAUGUCAAUUGACUUAGAUGUUGGGAAGUAUUUGUUCAAAAAAGUUUUGACCAUAUCAUCCCAAGAAGUUAUAGAUCCAGGUGGCAAAUAAAAUAACUAAUCUUUAGUAAAGUCAUCUAAUGAAAAAGGACAAGCUCUUAAUUUAACAUGAUCUUCAGAGAUACCUUGAGGUCUCAUACAUGAACAAACAAUAUUGAAUUCUUUCAAGUGCUUGUGUGGAUUUUCAUUUUGCAAACCUCUAAAUUUUGGGAGAAGAUGAAUCAAACCUGUUUUUAGUUCAAAGGGAACUGUCAGAGGUGGAUAGGUGAUGCAAAGUGGUGCUUGAUCACCUAUAGGUAUUGCUAACUCCCUCAUGGUUCUUUCUCUUGGCAUUUGUGGCCUUAUGGCUGGAUUUUCUUGAAUUAUUUGGUUCUGGACAGCUUGUCCAUUAGGGGCAGCAGCUUGUGCAUUAGGUUCUGCCAUUGGUGCAAAGUUCGGUUGCUGGAGCAAGGAAGGUUCGGCGGCCGAAGGUUGAUGGGGUUCGGCGGGUGAAUGUUGGGCAGAAUGCUCGGCAGCUUGCUUUCCUAGUCUUCUGAGGGUGCGUUCAAUUUUUGGAUCAAAGGGCAGAGUGUCCCUGUGUUCAGAUCUGGUCAUGAAAGAAAAAUAAAUAAGUUAAAUUAAUUUCCCGACAAGGGCACCAAUUUUUGACUCGUGGUUGUCGAAGCCGGUAAAAAAUAACAUCUACGGUAGAUAGUGGUAAAGGAUCGAAUCCACAGAGAAUUGAAUACUUAUCUUUUUUUCUCAAACAAGAUCAACUGAGAGCACAAUUGGAGGUAAGUAACUGAAGGCAGAUCAAUAGCAAAGUGCAAUAAAGUAAAAAGGGGGGUUUUGAGAUUGAUUUGACUAACAACUAUUGAAAGCAAUUAAAACAGCAAGUAAUUAAAAUAAAAGAGGAAAUCAAUAUGAGAAAGGUCUAGUUGAAGAUAUAGAUCCACUUUGGCUGUUUGGGUUGAUCAUUGAAACUUAUGUUCCCUUGAUUGGUUCAAUAGAUUAGUUAUGGGGGUGGAAAACGCUUCUCACCACCAUGUCUCUCCUUAUGAUUAAAUCAAUUAGGGAACGUCCUCUAAUCAAUUACUAAUUAACAAAUUGCCAAGGAAUGUCAUUGGGCCUUAGGCAUCAAAACAAUUGUCAAUUGCAUGAAGAAAUAGAGAGAUCCAAUCCUAGCUACUCCAAACGCAUCAAGAUGAUGCUAGAUCACACAAUUCCUUAGUUUUUACACCAAGUGUUCUUAGGUCAGAAUAUUUCCAGCAAUUACAGACUAACAAAUAUCCCAACUAACAAUCAAUUAACUUUGCAAUCAAGAAUCAAGUGGCCAAUUUGAUCAAAACAACAAAGCAAUCUUAGAUUUAAGCACACAAUUGCAUGAAUAUUGAACAAACCAAAAGCAAACACUUUAUGUUCAGAUCUCAUAACCCUUUAAACAACCUUAGUUUCAACCAAUCCUUAACUAGAAUUAAGGGUUUCAGCCACUCAUGGCUGAACCAGAAUAAAAAGUAGAAGAAGAGAAGAAGGAAGGAGGAACCGGCGGCCGGAGGUGGAGGAGGAGCGGCUGCCGAAACUUGGUGGUGAUUGAGUUCUUCAAGUCUGAAAAUAU